rnacentral:rRNA from 1 species
UCCUACGGGGGGCAGCAGUGGGGAAUAUUGCACAAUGGGGGAAACCCUGAUGCAGCAACGCCGCGUGAAGGUCAGUGCCCUAUGGGCGUUAAACUUCUUUUGUGCGGGAGCAAUAAUGGUCACGUGUGGCCAGACGAGAGUACCGUACGAAUAAGCAUCGGCUAACUCCGUGCCAGCAGCCGCGGUAAUACGGGGGAUGCAAGCGUUAUCCGGAUUUAUUGGGUUUAAAGGGUGCGUAGGCUGUGAGGUAAGUCAGAGGUGAAAUGCCCCCGCUCAACGGGGUGAAGUGACAUUGAUACUGCCUU